AUUGAACGCUGGCGGCAGGCCUAACACAUGCAAGUCGAGCGGAUGAAGGGAGCUUGCUCCUGGAUUCAGCGGCGGACGGGUGAGUAAUGCCUAGGAAUCUGCCUGGUAGUGGGGGAUAACGUCCGGAAACGGGCGCUAAUACCGCAUACGUCCUGAGGGAGAAAGUGGGGGAUCUUCGGACCUCACGCUAUCAGAUGAGCCUAGGUCGGAUUAGCUAGUUGGUGGGGUAAAGGCCUACCAAGGCGACGAUCCGUAACUGGUCUGAGAGGAUGAUCAGUCACACGAGAGCUGAGACACGCCAGACACCUCCAGGAGAGGCAGGAGUGGAAAAUUUGAGAAAAGGCGAAAAAGUCAGCCAGAGACGCCGCGCGUGUGAAGAAGGUCUUCGGAUUGUAAAGCACUUUAAGUUGGGAGGAAGGGCAGUAAGUUAAUACCUUGCUGUUUUGACGUUACCAACAGAAUAAGCACCGGCUAACUUCGUG
rnacentral:rRNA from 1 species